rnacentral:rRNA from 1 species
AACAGAGGGGGCAAGCGUUGUUCGGAAUCACUGGGCUUAAAGGGCGAGUAGGCGGUAGGGCAAGUCUGAGGUGGAAUCCUAUGGCUCAACCAUAGAACUGCCUUGGAAACUGUUCUACUUGAGUCAGUGAGGGGAGGGCGGAAUUGCCGGUGUAGCGGUGAAAUGCGUAGAUAUCGGGAGGAAGGCCGGUGGGGAAGGCGGCCCUCUGGCCCUGUACUGACGCUGAGGCGCGAAAGCGCGGGGAGCAAACAGG